rnacentral:lncRNA from 1 species
GUAAAACCCAAUCACCAAACACCGGCACGCGAUUUUCAUUAAGACGGUGACUCCAAACCGACUUCCUCCAUUACAGCACACGAGUUCUUCAUUCCGGCGACGACUUCCUCCAUUCCAGCACGUGAGUUUCUCCAUUCCGGCGGCGACUUCCUCCAUUCCAGCACGCGAGUUCCUCCAUUCAGGUGGCGACUUCCUUCAUUCCGUUCGUCCGUCGACAAGUAUUUUCAUCCUCCAUUCUAGCGCACCAUUUCAUCUCUAUUUUCUAUCUCAUUAAACCCCCAUUUAGAUGGACAUAGAUGGAUAUAGAUCCAUCUUUGUUAAUUUCUUAAAUGUGAUACACAGAUUUCUAAUUUUGAUAAACCCCCAUCAACCAGAUUUAUAAUUUUGAUAAACACCUCUCGAUUUCUCCCCUAAUUCUCGAUUUCUUCCCCAUCACAAUACAAUCCUCAUUUAAAAUAUUUCUCUGUUUAAAACCCAAUCAUAUUUCUCCAAUAUGAUUGGGUAUUUCUCUGUUUAAAAUCAUGUAUUUAAAGUUCUGUUGUUUAAAGUACUGCACUUGUUCUAUUUUAAAUCAUAGGUUCUAUUUUAAUCAAAAGUUAUGUUACUUAAAUCAUGGAUAAAAUCAUGGGUCUUUAUGUUUCUGAUUAUCGAGAAUUUUACUGUGAUUUGAAUGUUUUUUUGCUUUAUUAUAGGUCGUGUUUGUAUUCCUAUAGAUCUCAAUAAUUGUAAGGAUUUUGAUCAAACAUCUGUACCUAGCCUUUCAGAAUUAUUUUUUAAUUUAAUUGAUAUUUGAAAUGGGUUUUCAUAUUGUUUCUCAUUUUAAAAGUUGCUGCAUAUGAUUCUCUUUUCGAUGCCGAUUGCAUUUUUAUAAAUUUCGAAAAGAAAUUUUGUCUGAAUUCUGAAAUUGAACUGUAAUUAUAAUUUUAAAUAAUUUCCCUGUAAAAUAAGAUUCUCUGAUGCUCUGUAAUGUUAGUUUGAUCUUGAGUUCAGAAUUGACAUACCCGAAUUCAGAUUAGAGAACCAUAUCCAAAAAUGUUUCUAGAUUCUCCUCCUCACUGGAUUAUUAAAUUACAUAUAAUUAUCCAUAUUUAUUUAGAUAUAAAUCAUGUAAUUAUUAAACAAAGCAUUUUCAAAAAAACUAAAUACCAACAAAAGUAAUUAUGAAUACCAAUUCUAGAGAAUUAGACAAUUACCCUUAACAAAAAGUUAUAAAAAUAAAACAAGAAACCAAAGGCAAUUAGGCAACCAUUCUUAUUUUUUUAGUUAUCAAGAAACCAAGUACAUUAGAAAAAUAGUGAAAUUUAGUUAUCAAAGUUUCCAACAAUGGAGAAGGUAACUAUGUAAAUAGGUACCUGAUCUUAUCAUUAGGAUUUUGGCAACAUUGUAUUACUCUCUAUUGACAUAUGGUUCUUUUCAUCAUACUCUCUAUAGACAUUACUUUAAAUUAUUACUUGUAUGUCGUAUGUUUAUUUGCAUGUUUAAUUUUAUGUUAUAUAUGUUUCAAUUAUCAUUAAAAACAAAUAGGUCAUGGAAAAAUUUUAAAAAAUUGAAAUAAUUAUUUCGAUUAUUGGCUAAUUAAUUCAAAAUGUAAUUUGAUAUAGUUUAUUCCAAACUCACAGGUGUUGGUGCUAAAGAAGCCAAUACAAACUAAAUUCGAUCUUCAAUAUUUCACCAAAAAUUCGAAGUACGUAAUUUUUGAUUUCUUAUUUCAAUUAUCAUUUUAGUUUAUUAAUCUAAUUUUUUUAAAUGCAUUACUUAAUUAUUGUUUAGUUAAUAUUUUGAAUGUACAAUUUAAAUAAAUUUUUUGAUAUAGCAUAAUGGGAAGGAGAGAGAAACAAAUACCGCGUAGACUUCCAUUUCUGAUACGUGUUCUGGAAGUGCGUCCACAAGUUCCUACUGCACCUGCAACAGUAACUGUACCUGUUGUGCCUCCCUCCAUUUCAGCCAGAUCCAGUGUAUGAUCCGCAUACGGUAGGUCCAUCGAGCUCUCAUCAUCGCCAAUCGUAAUGAGAGUGAAGCAACCAUCUAGGAGGCCCCCGAUGAUGGACCAUCCACUAAGGUCCUUUGGUCCCCGACGAGACAAAUGAGCACCGGCUACGGGAGGUGUAAAAUAUCCACCUGAUUUUCAAUAUUUCUGCGGGUCGAAUUGUUCAGACGCGAAUACUACCAUGCAAGGUCCUUCCUUUGACUGCGAAACCGAAUCUUCGCCGGUUUCCGAUGUUUCGGUUACGUCCAACUAUCUGAACACUAUAGUAAUUUCUAGCGACGAUGAAGUCGGCGAAAACAGCGAUGGGAUGAGUGC